rnacentral:rRNA from 1 species
UGGGGAAUAUUGGGCAAUGGGGGGAACCCUGACCCAGCGACGCCGCGUGAGGGAAGAAGGUUUUCGGAUUGUAAACCUCUGUCCUUGGUGAAGAGAAGAAGACGGUAGCCAAGGAGGAAGCCCCGGCUAACUACGUGCCAGCAGCCGCGGUAAUACGUAGGGGGCGAGCGUUGUCCGGAAUGAUUGGGCGUAAAGGGCGCGUAGGCGGCCAUGCAAGUCUGGAGUGGAAGUCCAUUUUUCAAGGGUGGAAUUGCUUUGGAAACUGUGUGGCUGGAGUGCAGGAGAGGUUAUCGGAAUUCCCGGUGUAGCGGUGAAAUGCGUAGAGAUCGGGAGGAACAUCAGUGGCGAAGGCGGGUAACUGGACUGCAACUGACGCUGAGGCGCGAAAGUGUGGGGAGCAAACAGG